GUGCAUUCUGGACAAUGCCAUUAAUGUCAACUUUGAGGAGAUCCAGAACUUUCUACUUCACUUCUGGCAAGGAAUGCCUGAACAUCUCCUGCCACUGCUAGAGAAUCCGGUUAUCGUGGACAUCUUCUGUGUGUGUGACUCUAUGCUCUACAAAGUUUUGACUGAUGUUCUCAUCCCUGCUACAAUGCAAGAUAUG